rnacentral:tRNA from 2 species
GCUCGGCUAGCUCAGGGGUAGAGCACUACAUUGACAUUGUAGGGGUCGCUGGUUCAAAUCCAGCGUCGAGCACCA